rnacentral:sRNA from 1 species
UGUCAUAACAAGAAGGCCUGACCUCAAC